UACAGAGGUCCCGAGCGUUGUUCGGAUUCACUGGGCGUAAAGGGUGCGUAGGUGGUGAGGUAAGUCGGAUGUGAAAUCUCCGGGCUCAACCCGGAAAUGGCAUUGGAAACUACCUUGCUGGAGGAUUUGAGGGGGGGAUUGGAAUACUUGGUGUAGCAGUGAAAUGCGUAGAUAUCAAGUGGAACACCAGUGGCGAAGGUGGCUCACUGGCCCGGUACUGACGCUGAGGCGCGAAAGCGUGGGGAGCAAACAGG
rnacentral:rRNA from 1 species